GUACAAUACCAUAACACAGCCACAUCUAAAACUAAAGGGGUCUCUAUACUGAUGAGCAAAGAUGUAUCCUUCAAGCCCCUGUACGAGGACACAGAUAUGCAGGGGAGGUACAUAAUACUGACGUGUGAGAUCAACAACUUAGAACACACAUUUGUAAACAUUUACGCACCAAAUGCCAACCAGAGAAACUUCCUGCAUAAAAUCAUAACGCGCCUAGCGCAAGUUCAGAGGGGUAUCACGAUCAUAUGUGGAGACUUGAACCACAUACUAGACCCCAAAAGAGACACAACGGUAAGACCAAACACACCAAGAAACGCAACCCUCACAUGAGAAUGCAAACCCUUAGUUCGACUACUUAGCGAACACGACCUAUAUGAUGCAUGGAGGGUAUUACAUCCGGAG